GAUGAACGCUGGCGGCGUGCCUAAUACAUGCAAGUCGAGCGAACAGACGAGGAGCUUGCUCCUCUGACGUUAGCGGCGGACGGGUGAGUAACACGUGGAUAACCUACCUAUAAGACUGGGAUAACUUCGGGAAACCGGAGCUAAUACCGGAUAAUAUAUUGAACCGCAUGGUUCAAUAGUGAAAGACGGUUUUGCUGUCACUUAUAGAUGGAUCCGCGCCGCAUUAGCUAGUUGGUAAGGUAACGGCUUACCAAGGCGACGAUGCGUAGCCGACCUGAGAGGACGAUCAGCCACACUGGGAAUGAGACACGGCCCAGACUCCUACGGGAGGCAGCAGUGGGGAAUAUUGGACAAUGGGCGAAAGGCUGAUAAAGCAAUGCCGCGUGAGUGAUGAAGGCCUGAGGGUAGUAAAGCUCUUUUACCAGGGAUGAUAAUGACAGGAGCGGGAAAAUAAGAUCCGGCUAACGCCGGG
rnacentral:rRNA from 1 species